rnacentral:rRNA from 1 species
UGGGGGAUAUUGCACAAUGGGGGAAACCCUGAUGCAGCAACGCCGCGUGUGGGAAGAAGGUUUUCGGAUUGUAAACCACUGUUCUUGGUGAAGAUAAUGACGGUAACCAAGGAGAAAGCUCCGGCUAACUACGUGCCAGCAGCCGCGGUAAUACGUAGGGAGCAAGCGUUGUCCGGAUUUACUGGGUGUAAAGGGUGCGUAGGCGGCUAGGCAAGUCAGACGUGAAAACCAUGGGCUCAACCUGUGGACUGCGUUUGAAACUGUUUAGCUUGAGUGAAGUAGAGGUAGGCGGAAUUCCCGGUGUAGCGGUGAAAUGCGUAGAGAUCGGGAGGAACACCAGUGGCGAAGGCGGCCUACUGGGCUUUAACUGACGCUGAGGCACGAAAGCAUGGGUAGCAAACA